GUUGUAUGGUUAAGUGAUUAAGCGUAUGUGGUGGAUGCCUUGGCAGUUAGAGGCGAUGAAGGACGUGUUAAUCUGCGAAAAGCUUUGGUGAGGUGAUAAAAACCGUUAUAGCCAAAGAUAUCCGAAUGGGGAAACCCACCCGUCGUAAGGCGGGUAUCAUUAAGUGAAUACAUAGCUUAAUGAGGCGAACCGGGAGAACUGAAACAUCUAAGUACCCCGAGGAAAAGAAAUCAACCGAGAUUUCCUUAGUAGCGGCGAGCGAACGGGAAUUAGCCCUUAAGUGGUUUGUAAGUUAGUGGAAUCUACUGGAAAGUAGAACGAUACAGGGUGAUAGUCCCGUACACGAAAAUAAACUUAUCAUGAAAUCGAGUAGGUCGGCACACGUGAAACGUUGACUGAACAUGGGGGGACCAUCCUCCAAGGCUAAAUACUCCUAACUGACCGAUAGUGAACCAGUACCGUGAGGGAAAGGCGAAAAGAACCCCUGUGAGGGGAGUGAAAUAGAACCUGAAACCGCAUACGUACAAGCAGUGAGAGCUAGAUUUAGUCUAGUGAUUGCGUACCUUUUGUAUAAUGGGUCAGCGACUUAUAUUCUGUAGCAAGGUUAACCGAAUAGGGGAGCCGUAGCGAAAGCGAGUGUUAACUGCGCGUUUAGUUGCAGGGUAUAGACCCGAAACCCGGCGAUCUACCCAUGGGCAGGUUGAAGGUUGAGUAACAUCAACUGGAGGACCGAACACACGUAUGUUGAAAAAUGCGGUGAUGACUUGUGGGUCGGAGUGAAAGGCUAAUCAAGCCGGGAGAUAGCUGGUUCUCCCCGAAAUCUAUUUAGGUAGAGCCUCGCACGAACACCAUUGGGGGUAGAGCACUGUUAAGGCUAGGGGGUCAUCCCGACUUACCAACCCUUUGCAAACUCCGAAUACCAAUGAGUGAUAUGCGGGAGACACACUACGGGUGCUAACGUCCGUUGUGAAGAGGGAAACAACCCAGACCGCCAGCUAAGGUCCCAAAGUACUAGUUAAGUGGGAAACGAUGUGGAAAGGCAUAGACAGCUAGGAGGUUGGCUUAGAAGCAGCCAUCCUUUAAAGAAAGCGUAAUAGCUCACUAGUCGAGUCGGUCUGCGCGGAAGAUGUAACGGGGCUAAACUAGUCACCGAAGCUGCGGAUUUGAACUUAGGUUCAAGUGGUAGGGGAGCGUUCUGUAAGCCGUUGAAGGUGAGUUGUAAAGCUUGCUGGAGGUAUCAGAAGUGCGAAUGCUGACAUGAGUAACGAUAAGGGGAGUGAAAAACUCCCCCGCCGAAAGACCAAGGUUUCCUGUCCCAUGUUAAUCAGGGCAGGGUAAGUCGGCCCCUAAGGCGAGGCGGAAACGCGUAGUCGAUGGGAAACAGAUUAAUAUUUCUGUACUUCUAUAUAUUGCGAAGGAGGGACGGAGUAGGCUAGAUGAGCACGGCGUUGGUAGUCCGUGUGAAAGUAUGUAGGCGGGAAGUUUAGGUAAAUCCGGACUUCCACUUUAAUUAGUAACGCUGAGAUACGAGACGAGUCUCCAAGGAGAUGAAGUCAUUGAUGCCAUGCUUCCAGGAAAAGCUUCUAAGCUUCAGAUAUAUAGGAACCGUACCCCAAACCGACACAGGUGGUUAGGUAGAGAAUACUAAGGCGCUUGAGAGAACUCGGGUGAAGGAACUAGGCAAAAUAGUACCGUAACUUCGGGAGAAGGUACGCUCUCUAAUGUGAAUGACUUGCUCAGUAAGCAAUGGAGAGUCGAAGUAACCAGGUGGCUGGAACUGUUUAUUAAAAACACAGCACUGUGCAAAAUCGAAAGAUGACGUAUACGGUGUGACGCCUGCCCGGUGCCGGAAGGUUAAUUGAUUGGGUUAGUCCUCGGACGAAGCUCAUGAUCGAAGCCCCGGUAAACGGCGGCCGUAACUAUAACGGUCCUAAGGUAGCGAAAUUCCUUGUCGGGUAAGUUCCGACCUGCACGAAUGGCGUAAUCAUGGCCACACUGUCUCCACCCGAGACUCAGUGAAAUUGAAAUUGCGGUUAAGAUGCCGUAUACCCGCGGCUAGACGGAAAGACCCCGUGAACCUUUACUAUAGCUUGACAGUGAACAUUGCUCCUACAUGUGUAGGAUAGGUGGGAGGCUUUGAAACCAUGUCGCUAGAUGUGGUGGAGCCAACCUUGAAAUACCACCCUUGUAUGCGUGAUGUUCUAACCUAGGGCCCUUAUCGGGCUUGGGGACACUGUCUGGUGGGUAGUUUGACUGGGGCGGUCUCCUCCUAAAGAGUAACGGAGGAGCACGAAGGUUGGCUAAGUACGGUCGGACAUCGUACGGUUAGUGCAAUGGCAUAAGCCAGCUUAACUGCGAGACAGACACGUCGAGCAGGUACGAAAGUAGGUCAUAGUGAUCCGGUGGUUCUGUAUGGAAGGGCCAUCGCUCAACGGAUAAAAGGUACUCCGGGGAUAACAGGCUGAUACCGCCCAAGAGUUCAUAUCGACGGCGGUGUUUGGCACCUCGAUGUCGGCUCAUCACAUCCUGGGGCUGAAGUCGGUCCCAAGGGUAUGGCUGUUCGCCAUUUAAAGUGGUACGCGAGCUGGGUUUAGAACGUCGUGAGACAGUUCGGUCCCUAUCUGCCGUGGGCGUUUGAGAAUUGAAGAGGGCUGCUCCUAGUACGAGAGGACCGGAGUGGACGAACCGCUGGUGUUCGGGUUGUUAUGCCAAUAGCAUUGCCCGGUAGCUACGUUCGGAACUGAUAACCGCUGAAAGCAUCUAAGCGGGAAGCAGGCUUUGAGAUGAGUUCUCACUGGAGCUUUAAGCUCCCUAAAGGGUCGUUGGAGACUACAACGUUGAUAGGUUGGGUGUGGAAGUGCUGCGAGGCAUUGAGCUAACCAAUACUAAUUACCCGUGAGGCUUAACCAUACAACACCCAAGUGGUUUUGAG
rnacentral:rRNA from 1 species